rnacentral:misc_RNA from 1 species
AUUUCUGAUAAUUUUCAGAUUGGUUAAUUCAAAAAAGUUUUAAAUAAACAGCAGAGUGCCAAGAAAAGUUUCUGUUUACAUAUAAUUAGAAAAAUGAUGUUUAAAGGUAUUGAGCAGAAGAAAAAACUAUGCAAAAAUCUAAAUAAUAGGAGUGUGCAAACACUAAUCUAUUUAGCAACAAAAUCUGAAAUAUUAAGAAACCAAUUGAACAUUCCCUAUCUAAUUGAACAUUCCUGAGAAACCAACUAGAGUACUGUGGUACUGUUGAUGAUACUUGUAGUAAAUUUCACAAAAUUUGGUAAAUAUUAGGAACCCAACUGCAAGCAGAAAAAGUAGCACAUAUAAAAAGAAAGAGACGAGCCACAAAGAAAUGGAAAUGAACCUUCUCCCCAUCAGCAAGUUUUUCAAAAAAAUUGGUAAGGGGUUUCACAUA